AGGGACGCCAACCCACGCGCAGUUACCGCCAAGAAUUAGCCGCGAGUUGGGGUGCGCUUCCCUUGCUGCCUUUCUCUUCCUUUGUUCUGCUCUGUUUGUUGUCGCAGUACAAGAGAAGAGUGCAGAUAAAUAGUUUGUGAUCCCAGGAGAACACAAGAAUCCGUGAUAUGAAGAAAAAACUGGGAAAAGAGAAGAAAAAAGAAGAAAAGAGGAGGAGAAAGAGAAGAUGAAUGAAAUGAAGUCCAUCAUUACAGAAGAAGAGGAAGCAGAGGAAGAGGCAGCCCUAUACCUCUCAAGAAACUACAAGGUUCUUCACUAGUUCACAUCUGUUAUACCUGAAGCUGCACCGGAUGGGCACCAGUUGGCUCUCAGGGGAUGUGUUCUACUGAUCACACCCAUCAUCGGAGGGUCCAGGAAGGGCAGUUCUCUCUCUCCACGUUUACUGAUGAGGACUUGGCCGUCAGUGAUGCCCGCAGGCGACCAGCUGGUUAACCCACACUACCAGGAAGUGAGCAUCGGCUUUGGUUCUUAAUAUGGCAAUGAUUACUGAUACUUUACACAUGUUACGCGUUUUCAUGCAAGCACAAAACUGUUGAACAUUUCACUCAUGAUUACUGAGGAAUAACGAGGAGAAGAAAAAAGAAGAGAAGGAGGAGGAAGAGAAGAUGAAUAAAAUGGACUCAAUCAUUACAAAGCGAGAGGGAGCAGAGGAAGAGGCAGCACCACCACCACCACUACUACUACUACUACUACUACUACUACUAC